CAAGAAAUGACAGGGACACGUGGAUAUUGAGGGAAACCGAGACAGUCUGAUAGAAAAAAGGCAGAGGCUCAGCAGCACAGGAGUCAGCAGCCUGGGACCCUUAUAGGGUCUCUCACUGACCUAGAGCUCACCAAGUAAGCAAGGCUGCCAGGUUGCUGAGCCCCAGAGCUGCCAGCCUCCCUCACUCUGUGAUUCCAGGGUCUCACACUGAGCCUCGUGCUUGCUGCUGGUCAGUGAGCCUUUCCACCACCUGAGCAGAAGUGCAUGCCCUGACAGUCAGCUUUCAUGGAGGUCCUGGGAAUCUGAACUCAGAUCCUCAUGUUUAUGAGGUAAGCUCU